rnacentral:rRNA from 1 species
CAGUCGCCGCGGGAAUACAGAGGAUGCAAGCGUUAUCCGGAAUGAUUGGGCGUAAAGCGUCUGUAGGUGGCUUUUCAAGUCCGCCGUCAAAUCCCAGGGCUCAACCCUGGACAGGCGGUGGAAACUACCAAGCUGGAGUACGGUAGAGGCAGAGGGAAUUUCCGGUGGAGUGGUGAAAUGCGUUGAGAUCGAAAAGAACACCAACGGUGAAAGCACUCUGUUGGGCCGACACUGACACUGAGAGACGAAAGCUUGGGGAGAAAAUGGGAUUAGAUACCCCGGUAGUCCCUGUCUCUUAUAC